UUUUUGCUUCCUUGCGGGUCCAGCUGUGAACAUCCACUCAUUCACUUACUUGUUGGGUUUCAUAUGGAUGAAAAGGCGAAGUAUUAACUCCCUCGUCUGCUAGUUCUUGAUCUACCUAAAAUGCAGAGAGCCAAAAACAAUGUUUCAACAGAGGGAGAAGACCAGACAAGCCGUAUAAAAGGAGAAUGGGAAAGACCAGAGUUCUUUCUUCAACUCCAGUGACAUCUGCAUUUUCCUUCAGCAUAACUGCAUGUUUCAUCAAGCCAAUAAGGUCACCCAUCAUAACAAAACGUAGAGAUUCCAACAGGAAAGAUUUCAGCCCACCAGCCUCCUCCACAAUUUUACGGGUAUCUGGAGGAAAAUGCUCGUAUUCUCCAAUUAACAGUGGAUUAUCAAUUUCCAUAGGACCAUGUUCUUCCAAGAUCUGAGAGAAAUAGCUGUGAAAAUAAUCAAAGGCGUAUCUAAUAUCACUGGGAAGCUGUGCAAACAUAACUAAUUUAUCAUUUUAGCUAUCAAUUUAUACACACAUGUAUUGACAAAGAAGGUUCUCAAAUAAAUCAUCUACAGGACACAA